UUAGAUCUUGCACAAGAAAAUCAAGCACUUCCAGAAAAUACUUGUAAUUAUAAUUUGCAAUCCAUGAAAAGAAUAGCACAGAUUGACAAAGCAUAUUGAAUGUAAAUCCUACACGACCAAAUGGUCUUAGCAACAAGAAAAAUAUUGAUUGAAAUGCGAAGGUUGUUGAUUUGUAUGAAAAAGGAGACCAACCUUCCUCCCAGAUUGUAAAAUGAUCCAACAAGUCAGCUUGUUGCAUAUAUCAAAAUAACUUUCUGAGUUGUAAUGAAUCAUAUCAACUUGUUUGAUUGAAUGUUUCAAAACGUUCAUGUAGACUUGGGCUCAGAUACUUGGGACACAACCUCUUGUUGAUUUCUUACUACAUUAUCUGCACAACAACUUCAAGAGUUCUUUAAUCAGUUGCACCCAACACCUCGGAAAAUUUACGAAAACUACUGUUCAACUAACAAUCACUUCUCCAACUGAAUUCCAUAUAAUUCAAUCUGGUGCACCAAAGAAAUAAUUCAAUCUGAACCAAAAGUCUUUAACAAGAGAUGCCAAUUCUAACACCAUUAGAUUGCAUAAAGACAAAGUAAUCAUUUUUCUCAAGAAUCAACACUUGGAUACUGUGCAUAAUUUCACUUCAUAAAUCUGUGCACCGUCAUGCUUCGAAACAUAUACAAUUCCUAUGGCCUGCAUACCCAGUUUAUGGUAGCCCAUCAAUUACAUAUACACAAACACUCAGGAUGCACAUGUUCAUACAAGUGUGAUUGCACAUAGCACACUCUUUUUAUUUUUAUUUUGAAAUCUCUCUCUCUCUCUCUCUCUCUCUCUCUCUCUCUUUGCACCGUCAUGCUUCGAAACAUACACAAUUCCUAUGGCCUGCAUACCCAGUUUAUGGUAGCCCAUCAAUUACAUAUAUACAAACACUCAUGAUGCACAUGUUCAUACAAGUGUGAUUGCACAUAGCACACUCUUUUUAUUUGUUUUUGAAACAAGUCUCUCCACGUAAAUUUACACACGCACUGCACAGACACAAGUGCAUCUCAUAUGCCUCUGUGUGUGCAUGUUGUUCUAUGCUGUGUGGAUACCAUUUUGAUAGUAUCCAUUGGGCACCAAUGUGCACCCAGCAAAGAAAUUUCACUCUUUCCAUGUGUUUUUGAAACAAAUGUCAAAUUAAUCAAUUCUCUAAGUUUAUCUCAGCUGGCUGAAUAUAUUAUUGUAUAAUCUACAGCUUGUCAUUUUCCACACAUAUACUUUGA
rnacentral:lncRNA from 1 species